rnacentral:rRNA from 1 species
UACGUAGGGCGCAAGCGUUGUCCGGAAUUAUUGGGCGUAAAGGGCUCGUAGGCGGCCAACUAAGUCAUACGUGAAAUCCCUCAGCUUAACUGGGGAACUGCGUGUGAGACUGGCGGGCUUGAGUGCAGGAGAGGAACGCGGAAUUCCAGGUGUAGCGGUGAAAUGCGCAGAUAUCAGGAAGAACACCCGUGGCGAAAGCGGCUCUCUGGAACGGUACUGACGCUGAGACGCGAAAGCGUGGGGGAGCGAACAGG